UCUCAUUGUACCCCAGAUAACACCUCCCCCUCCUUUCUUUCCUUAUCUUCACCACGAAGGCACGCCCUCUCUCUCGUUUCCUCUCACCUGCCGCCACAAGAGCCGCCGCAACAACGCAACACCGCCCAAGCACGCGACCUCCUCUCUCUCUCUCUCCCUGGUGUGAUCCGCUCUCCCACACAGCUAGACGAACGCCUUCAUCUCGAGCGGGUGAGUGGGUGAUCGGAGAGGGCGGCGCUGGCGGUUUCGAUCCGUGAUCUUUCUCGACGCGGAUGGCGGCGUAUCGAUCCCGCUGAAGCGGCUGGCGGCUUCCGGCCCAGGAGGCUUGGGGUGUUCGUGGCGGCUGCGAGGAGGUAGCGAUGGGGUUCUGCGACCGGAUGAGGAAAGGGCGCCGAUCUCGCUCCUCCUGCUCCCAAUCGCUGGCGCGGCCACCAUCGACCAGAUCUUCAGAACCUCAGUGUUGAAGCACAAAAUAGAAGGGGGUGAAUGAGGAGGCAAUGGUUGACGGCAACCAUGGGAGGAGGUCGGGGCGUCGAAGAGUAUUGAGUUGGCGAAUCCGGCGAGAUGUGGUUCAAGCAAAUGUUGAUGAUGCGGCAAUGAGAAGACCCUCUCUGUUCUCUUAGAAAAUCGGCACCUGAAGGUCACUAUUUUAAUUCCUAUAAUCAAUGGCUACAAAAUGCUUCUAGCUCUACAAUGAGCGAUCGCGCCAUUUCUGGAAGCGGCAAGGGCGGUGGGUUGUACCUGUGCCGGUGCCAUCACUUGACGCUCCACCUGGAUGGCGCCGGGCUGGGAGCUGCGGGAAAUACGUGUAUUGAGGACCACGGUGUGCGGGUCAUGUGCCUGAUGCUAGACGCGAUGGUCGGGCACCAGACUGUCAUCGGCAACUACAAACAACAGAACAUGCGAGUCGUCUACAACCUUGAUAGAGCCAUGCUAUCCUUUGUGUCGGCGCACUAUAACUGUUCUGAACAAAGGAAGAACUUGUAAUCACAUGAAAUAUGCCAAUGUGGCAGUGGUACUGAACUGAAGCAACGAUUUCUUUGAAUGAAAUGUGAACUGGAAUGUAGAGCUGACAAAAAGGGUUGCUGGAUGGGCUACUAUAUUGCUCUAUGUUAUUUACAGCUGUGAUCUUGCAUGUAGUAUAAGAAAGAAAGUGGAAUGGACGCCACCUAUCUGGCACCGCUGAGUUUCCGCUCAGGAGGCGC
rnacentral:rRNA from 1 species